AAAGUGUUCUGUAGCUGUGCUAUCCAGUACAGUAGCCGUUAGCCACAUGUAUCUAUUCUUCAAGUAUGGAUGUUGGAACUGAUGUCUUAUUUUAAGAUAUACAACAAUCAUCAGACAAAAAAAUUAGUGUGAACCAGGCAAGGGAGGUGGUGGUCUCUGAUCUACUCCUGAAGUUUGAAAAGCUUUGCCAUACCCAACAGGUGAAAACAGGUAUCUCUGAACUGGGUUUUCACCAAGCACCAAAUCAGCCAGUGCCUGGAUCUUGGAUUUCCC
rnacentral:lncRNA from 1 species